rnacentral:sRNA from 1 species
UUACGCCGGCGCACCCAGGGGGUGCGAAGGCGGCAGACAACACCGUGCAGCGGGGGAAGAACCGCGCACAUCAGGGCGUU